UACGUAGGGGGCAAGCGUUGUCCGGAUUUAUUGGGCGUAAAGAGCGUGUAGGCGGCCAAGCAGGUCCGCUGUGAAAACUCGAGGCUCAACCUCGAGACGUCGGUGGAAACCGUUUGGCUAGAGUCCGGAAGAGGAGAGUGGAAUUCCCGGUGUAGCGGUGAAAUGCGCAGAUAUCAGGAGGAACACCGGUGGCGAAGGCGGCAUUCUGGACCGAAACUGACGUUGAGGCGCGAAAGCCAGGGGAGCAAACGGG
rnacentral:rRNA from 1 species